rnacentral:lncRNA from 1 species
UCCGGAGACUCCAUAUGAGAGUUAUUUCCCCUUUUAUAUUUGAUAUAAGUGAUAUGCAUUUUUAACUGGAAAACCAUAAGUGUUAGAGGCCUAGGGUCUUUUGAUUUGAGGUCCUUGGUCCAAAAAAAUGAAAAUGAGGUCAAGGUCAAAGGUCAAGGUCAUGAUUAAAAUUUUGAUUUUGGCUUGUUAUCUCUUAUUUUCAGAAAUCUUAUAAGAUAUCGACAAAAUAUUUUCACAUAAUUGUUAGUCGCGACAUGUAGUUACACAUAAAUUUUAGUCGAAAGGGUACGUAAACAUUUGCUGCGAGUUUUUCCCCCUUUUAUAUCUAAUAUCAGUCGUAUGGUAAUAUAACUCAUUAACAAUAUAAAGUAAAGACCUAGAGUCUUUUGAUUUGAGGUCCUUGGUUCAUGACCUUGAAAUUGAGCUCAAGGUCAUAUGUUAAUUUAACGUUCUAGAUUUUGACCUUUGCUUUUACCUCAUAUGUAUUCAUGUUAAAGCUAUUAGACUUUUUGCAUUAGGUUGCAAGCAGUAUGACGUUGAAAAAGCUAACCGGAAGUGACCUUUUGUAAACCGGAAGUAGCUAAUUUUUGUAAUAAAUUAUUGUAAAAGUAUGUAAAACCAUAUAUUUUUGGAAUCAGCGUCAAGUAAACUAUAAGACAGUACCGGAAGUAACAUAUUUUGAACCGGAAGUAAAAAAUUAUCUCCCUUAUUUAUAUCUUAUUGUAUAGAAACCUUAUAUUUUUGGAAUCAGCGUACAAUAAGUUGUCAUUUGACGCUGAAAUUGACAUUUAAAACCAAAUUUUAAUAUUUUCUUUUAAAAAAAAUCAUUACUGGUGGAAAGACCAUCAAUGGUUCUCUGAACAAUUGGUUUUUAAUAUUGUUCUUACAUCUCUUCUGAAAAAAAAAAUCCACAUGUUUGUUAUCAGUUAAACUCUGAAACUACAAGUCCAAUCGACCCCAGCAGUCAGCAGGGCAUACAUGUACUAAAGGUUCAUAAAACAACGUGGUGCCGAUAUCUCUCAAGACUUUUCCUAGAGAAAAAAAAUGGCAAUGCCGUAAAAAUCGCUUGCUAGGUCCGUAAAUCUCAGUGAAACCCUACAAUAAAAUGUCCGCUCCUAGAUUGAAAUACUUAUCUGUGUUACAAACUGGUGCUGAAAAAUGUACAUUGUCAGAAAAUAAUCCUUAAAUGUGUAUUAAAGUUACACCGGAUCAAUUAAAUCAAAAACAUGCACUGCUGGUGAACUGUGAUCAAAAUGUCAAUUUCCUACAAUGACAAAAGAAAUUACAUUGUGUACAUUCCGUCUCUAUACAUGUUGUCUGUUCAACGUCCCGACCUAAAAAGAAUAAAUAUACUAAGUUUUCGUUAUUAUAAACCGCGGUCACGUGAUGUCUCCUCAAUCUGGCGCGCGCGCGCUGGACCUAAAAUAAAAUAAAAACUUUCCGAACUAAACAUGAAACUUCCCCGGAAUAAUAUAGACCCCUUACAGAAACAAACAAACAAACACACACACACACACACACACACAUACAUGUCUAAGGUGUCAAGUGGGGACACCUGCUACAACACGAUCAAAUGGGGACUUCUUUCGUGUAGGUCUUGUGUUUAAUUUAAUAUCAGAUUUGCUUACAAAAGAACUUAUUAUAAUCGCAUGUAACAGUUGGUAGCUUAGAAAUGUCAUUUGAAUGACAUAAAUUAAGUGAACUAAAUGGGGACACACAAAUUAUACACACAUCUAUGGUAUCAGCUUUCUAAAUGGGGACUAUUAAUGGCAUUUAUUUCGUGAAUUAAUUGGGGACACACAGUAUGAUAUGAGAUUUCUAAAUGAGGACUUUUCGUCUUAUCAAAGAUAUCUAAGUGGGGACAUUAGUGUCUCAAUGGAAUGCAUCAAAAUGGGAUCAUUUUAUGUAAUUAAACCAUUGGCAGUGGUCUCUAUUCAAAUG